GACAGAGGAUGCAAGCGUUAUCCGGAAUGAUUGGGCGUAAAGCGUCUGUAGGUGGCCUGAUAAGUCGGGUGUGAAAGCCCCUGGGCUCAACCCAGGAAGUGCACUCGAAACUGUCAGGCUUGAAUAUGGAAGAGGGUCGCGGAAUUCCCGGUGUAGAGGUGAAAUUCGUAGAUAUCGGGAGGAACACCCAGUGGCGAAGGCGGCGCCUGGGCCAAUAUUGACGCUGAGGUGCGAAAGCGUGGGGAGCAAACAGG
rnacentral:rRNA from 1 species